AUUGAACGCUGGCGGCAGGCUUAACACAUGCAAGUCGAGCGGAGCGAGGGUGCUUGCACCUUAGCUUAGCGGCGGACGGGUGAGUAAUGCUUAGGAAUCUGCCUAUUAGUGGGGGCCAACAUUCCGAACGGGAUGCUAAUACCGCAUACGCCCUACGGGCGAAAGCAGGGGAUCUUCGGACCUUGCGCUACUAGAUGAGCCUAAGUCGGAUUAGCGAGUUGGUGGGGUAAAGGCCUACCAAGGCGACGAUCUGUAGCGGGUCUGAGAGGAUGAGCCGCCACACUGGGACUGAGACACGGCCCAGACUCCUACGGGAGGCAGCAGUGGGGAAUAUUGGACAAUGGGCGGAAGCCUGAUCCAGCCAUGCCGCGUGUGUGAAGAAGGCCUUUUGGUUGUAAAGCACUUUAAGCGAGGAGGAGGCUACUAGUAUUAAUACUACUGGAUAGUGGACGUUACUCGCAGAAUAAGCACCGGCUAACUCUGUGCCAGCCGCCGCCGUAA
rnacentral:rRNA from 1 species